rnacentral:rRNA from 1 species
CACGUAGGAGGCAAACGUUAUCCGGAUUUACUGGGCGUAAAGCGCGUGUAGGUGGUUCUGUAAGUAGGGCGUGAAAGCUCCCGGCUCAACUGGGAGAGGCCGUUCUAAACUGCAGAGCUAGAGGAUGGUAGAGGGAGGUGGAAUUCCAGGUGUAGCGGUGGAAUGCGCAGAUAUCUGGAGGAACACCAGUGGCGAAGGCGGCCUCCUGGACCAUUCCUGACACUCAGACGCGAAAGCUAGGGUAGCAAACGGGGAUUAGAUACCCCGGUAGUCCAUGA